rnacentral:rRNA from 1 species
CGGCAGUUACGCAUGCUAUACAUGCAGUCGAGCGAACAGAUAAGGAGCUUGCUCCUUUGACGUUAGCGGCGGACGGGUGAGUAACACGUGGGUAACCUACCUAUAAGACUGGGAUAACUUCGGGAAACCGGAGCUAAUACCGGAUAACAUUUGGAACCGCAUGGUUCUAAAGUGAAAGAUGGUUUUGCUAUCACUUAUAGAUGGACCCGCGCCGUAUUAGCUAGUUGGUAAGGUAACGGCUUACCAAGGCGACGAUACGUAGCCGACCUGAGAGGGUGAUCGGCCACACUGGAACUGAGACACGGUCCAGACUCCUACGGGAGGCAGCAGUAGGGAAUCUUCCGCAAUGGGCGAAAGCCUGACGGAGCAACGCCGCGUGAGUGAUGAAGGGUUUCGGCUCGUAAAACUCUGUUAUUAGGGAAGAACAAACGUGUAAGUAACUGUGCACGUCUUGACGGUACCUAAUCAGAAAGCCACGGCUAACUACGUGCCAGCAGCCGCGGUAAUACGUAGGUGGCAAGCGUUAUCCGGAAUUAUUGGGCGUAAAGCGCGCGUAGGCGGUUUCUUAAGUCUGAUGUGAAAGCCCACGGCUCAACCGUGGAGGGUCAUUGGAAACUGGGAAACUUGAGUGCAGAAGAGGAAAGUGGAAUUCCAUGUGUAGCGGUGAAAUGCGCAGAGAUAUGGAGGAACACCAGUGGCGAAGGCGACUUUCUGGUCUGUAACUGACGCUGAUGUGCGAAAGCGUGGGGAUCAAACAGGAUUAGAUACCCUGGUAGUCCACGCCGUAAACGAUGAGUGCUAAGUGUUAGGGGGUUUCCGCCCCUUAGUGCUGCAGCUAACGCAUUAAGCACUCCGCCUGGGGAGUACGACCGCAAGGUUGAAACUCAAAGGAAUUGACGGGGACCCGCACAAGCGGUGGAGCAUGUGGUUUAAUUCGAAGCAACGCGAAGAACCUUACCAAAUCUUGACAUCCUUUGAAAACUCUAGAGAUAGAGCCUUCCCCUUCGGGGGACAAAGUGACAGGUGGUGCAUGGUUGUCGUCAGCUCGUGUCGUGAGAUGUUGGGUUAAGUCCCGCAACGAGCGCAACCCUUAAGCUUAGUUGCCAUCAUUAAGUUGGGCACUCUAGGUUGACUGCCGGUGACAAACCGGAGGAAGGUGGGGAUGACGUCAAAUCAUCAUGCCCCUUAUGAUUUGGGCUACACACGUGCUACAAUGGACAAUACAAAGGGCAGCUAAACCGCGAGGUCAUGCAAAUCCCAUAAAGUUGUUCUCAGUUCGGAUUGUAGUCUGCAACUCGACUACAUGAAGCUGGAAUCGCUAGUAAUCGUAGAUCAGCAUGCUACGGUGAAUACGUUCCCGGGUCUUGUACACACCGCCCGUCACACCACGAGAGUUUGUAACACCCGAAGCCGGUGGAGUAACCAUUUAUGGAGCUAGCCGUCGUAGGUGAACAAUUAAGG